GACGGAAGAGGCAAGCGUUGUUCGGAAUCACUGGGCUUAAAGCGCGUGUAGGCGGCUCGGCAAGUACUUUGUGAAAUCCCUUCUCUCAAAGGAGGAAUCGCUUGGUAUACUGCCGGGCUUGAGGCAGGUAGGGGUCACUGGAACUCUAGGUGGAGCGGUGAAAUGCGUAGAUAUCUAGAGGAACGCCCGUGGCGAAAGCGGGUGACUGGGCCUGUCCUGACGCUGAGACGCGAAAGCGUGGGUAGCAAACGGG
rnacentral:rRNA from 1 species